CCGCCAUUCAAUAUGAUCAUGGCUGAUCAUCCAACUCAGUCUCGAACUAUCAUCCAGAGCUGUGAAAGAGGUCCUGGACCCUAUCCCCCAAACGCAACACCGGCCAAUCACCAUAACCAUCCGAUCCGCUCUCCAAGCAAC